rnacentral:rRNA from 1 species
CCCUUAGAUGUUCUGGGCCGCACGCGCGCUACAGUGGUCUUCGCAAACGGAUGCAUUCUCGAAGGAGAAUGCCAAUCUUGGAAUCUAUGCCUUGGUCGGGACAGUUGCUUGCAAUUUUUCGACUCGAACCAGGAAUUCCUUGUAAUCGUGAUUCAUCACAUCACGAUGAAUACGUCCCUGCCCUUUGUACACACCGCCCGUCGCUCCUACCGAUCGAAGAGUUAGGUGAAUUGUUUUGAUCGAUAAGAUUUGACUAUGGUCAACUCUCGUUGUGAAAUUCUGUGAAUCUGACUGUUUAGAGGAAGGAAAAGUCGUAACA